UUAGUAAAUUAAAACAUAUGACUCAUCCAUUAACCCAGACAAAACAUAAUUGGCUAGAUGGUUAAAAGUUGAUGAAAUUAUCCUUAAAACUCGAGUUUGAUUCUCCCUUGUAGCAUAAUUUUUAUUUUGGCCUAAAACCCUAACUAUGUCAUCCCAUGUGGUAAAUCCCCUCUUCUCUUUUUUCUCAUCUUCCCCCAUUUUCUUUUCCUCUCUUUUUCAUUGUGUCGCCCCUAAGACCUAAUUUUAUUCCGUAUUCUUCUUCUUUAUUCCUAUGUUGUCGUCGCCCUAGUGAACAACCAUCGUUGUUGUCGCCGUCCAUUGGAAACCUCCCAUCCUCUCUUUAUUUUUUUGCUUCUUUAUUGUGGUACCAUUUAUUUUUGGUCCAUUAUUGCUGCCAUUUCGCACACCACUUCUGCCCCUUGAGGCCCCUCAAUCUCACUUCUUUUCUUCUUUAUUUGCUGUCGGUUUUGCACUUCUUUCAUCACACAUCUGAAUCUGGAGUGUUCAGAUCCGAAUCACUUGGAUCAGCAGUAGCGCCAGAAGUUGCUUGCUCCACCCUUUAAAGUCAAAAUAGAGUAAGUAGUAAUCUCUAAAAUCAGAUCUGUAAAACCAAUCUUUUUCUCUAAUUUGGCGAACCCUUUAGGGUGAUUAACGGUUGAUUUCUAACAACUUUUCUUGUGUUAGGUACAAAUUUGAACUAGAUUUAGCUAGAUCUGAAACUUAGGACCUGUAGAUUAGCGAUAGUGCUUCUGUUUCGCGUUAAUCAGGUGUGGGUCCUAACUUUUUGUGUGUUAAUGAUUGUUGUAAGCAUGUGUAAGUGUUACUUUGGUGAUUGGCCGAUUAUAUAUGUGGUUUAAGUGCUAUGGCGGAAUGUUAUAGGGACUUAAGAUGUGUCUAUCCAAAUGUGUAAGUGCUAUAAAGAUUUAAGCUGAUUGUAUGAUUGCUGAAAUUGGUUGAAUUGCACUGUUAUUACUUGUAUUGUAGCAUGCUGAUUGUUAUUGUUAAAUUGAUUGCAUGUAAAACAUGCCAUUGACUGUUAUCGUAUAUUGUUUGCAUGUAAGUGUGGAAACUUUUUUUGGAAAUUGACUUUUUAUUUUAAAACGAAAAUGGAGUAGCCACCAAUCUUUUUUAUUAGGUGUGAUUGAAUUACCUCGAAACUUAAUCAUUUUAAUAAAAAAUCGUUAAAUUUACUAAAACGAUAAUUUUCAGUGUACAAAAUUCAGGAAGUGGGUUCGGGAGUCGAUUACGUAUGAGGAAUAAUUAGCACCCUCAUAACGCCCCAAAUUGAUACCUAGUAGAUUACUUGAUGUCUCAGUGUCGAGAAUUGAGAAUUCAAAGAAAAUUUAAAAUGCGAAACCCUUCUUGCAUGAUUUUGAUUAAAAUAUCGCUAGCUAAAUUAAAUUUUAUGGAAAGAGCCUUCUUAUUUCAAGUUAAUUAAGAAAAAAUGAUCAUAUUCCGUAAGUUAGGGUACGAUAUCUCGAAUCCUCGAAAAUAAGAAUACUCGUCAUUUGAUUAUUACCUAAGUCCUAUGUGUCUUGAAUUUUAAAUAAGAUGUUUGAUUAUUUCGGUUCUAGAAAGAUGUCAUAUUCCGUAAGUUAGGAGCACGACUCCUCGAAUCUCAAAAAUAAUGAACAUUGCCUUGGUUUUAAUUACUUCUUAUGCGUCGUGUAAAAACAAAUGCACCACUUAAUAUGAGAUGCAAUUGAGCGUAGUACGGAAAUAAAUAAAUGUAUCUAAGCAUAAUAGAUAAUAUGGUAAUGACUAAAAUAAAAUAAAAUAACUACACGAGUAAAUAAAUAAUAAAUAAUAAAUAAAAUAAAAAAUUUCGAAAUGACCAUAGUAAAAUAAUAAUAUAAGAACAAAUAACAGUGAUCACUAUAAUCAAAUAGUGAUAAUGCAACUAUAAUAACAACAACACAAAUAGAUGAUAAUAACAAUAAUAAUAACAAUUAUGACAUGGUUAAUAAUGAAAAUAAUAAAUCAAAGAUAAAAGUAAAUAUUACUUAAUUUAAAGGGCAAAAUGUAAAUAAUAAAAUUAAAAAUGCUAAAAACAAAAAUACACUAAAAAUAAAUGAGUUAAAUUAAAUAAAGGACUUAAUCGAAACUGUGGUAAAAUUUAAAGGAUAAAUUAUGAAGGAUUCGAAAAUAAAGGAUUAAAGUAAAAUAAAAUAGAAAAAUACAGGGACUCAGAAUGCAAUUAUCCCAACCACUACACACGUGCCACAUUUAAAGAAGUUGUCAGUGAGUUAGGGGGACCAAACUGAAAAUAUAAUAAAAUUUAAAGUAUAAAAUUAAAAAAUAAAAACAAAAAUAGAACAUAAAGGGUCAAAUUAAAAUAAAAUGGAAAAAUACAGGGACUUAGAGGGUUAUUUUCCCAACCCAAGUACACAUCUCAUUCCCUUAAUGGGUCAACAAUGUGUCAAGGGACUAAUUUGUGAGAAAAUAAAAUUAAAGAGGUGAAAUUAAAACAAAUAAAAAAGGAAUAGGACGAAAUUAAAAAAAGAGCAAAAAGGUGGAAGGACCAAAAUGACAAUUAGACCAUCACUGUGAAAACACACAAACCCUGAGGUUAUUUGAGUUAGAUCUUUGGCUCGUGCUAAACGACGUUGUUUUGGACGUCUGAAGCCAAUCCCAAAACAACAUCAUUUUAGGGGUCUAUUUAAAUCUAAAAAAUCUAAAAGAAUUCAUUUUAAACAUUUGUUUAAAAAAAAACUCUCUUUCACUCUUCUUUUUUCUCUCAAAUCCUUCCUAUCGUUCUGUCAUAAAGACGGCGAACCUUCACCAAGGCCACCGAUCAUCAACGACGGCGACCACCGCCUCCGGUGGCCAAAAAAUUAAAAAAAACUUUUUUAGCCCUUUUUGCGCAGAAUGCAAAUCUGGGGUUCAAAUCCCUAAAAAAUCAGUCAAAGUCUGACCGAGGGCAGAGAAACCUUUCGGUUUCUCCCUUUUUCGACGAGACCCUCGACGGAACCCUAGGGGUUCCGAGGCUUCUCAAGUUGGAGAAAGGGGAAAUCCACGAUGGUGUUCAACAGGUAAACUAAAAAUAAAAUAAACCUUAUAUUAUUCUUUUUUAUGCUUGCUUUGAAAAUAAAAAAUAUAAAACAAACUACCUUUUUUUUAAGCUUUGUUAUUGCUUUCUUCUAUUUCAUUUCCUGUCAAAAGCUACAAAGGAUUUGGGCUUUACAGCCGAAUAUUACAAAUAUUUUUGUUUUCCUUUUUUUUCUUUUUUUGCUUUUGCUUCUGCUCUCUGUUUCUGUCCUCUUUUAUUUUUUGCAGGUAGCAUGGUGGUGGUGGCAAGGGGCCGAAGUCAACGGUAGUUGGGAGCCACACAACCUUGCCAUUUUGGUGCAAUGGUGGCAAAGAGAGUGUCAGGCCUCAGAUGGCACGCCAGCUGACGUGGUGUGGGAAGCGACAGCUAGAGACUUUAGGGGGAGCUAGGGUUUCUGAAAAAUUUAGGUUCUUGGGCUUUCGGGCUUAGGUAAUUUGGGCUUUAGGGUUUUGUAUUUGGGCUUGCAAUAUGGACUAGACUUUUAAUUAAUGGAUUUUUUAUUUUUGUUUUUUAUUAUUUUUGUUUAGGCCGGAUAAAAGUGGGCCUCUACAGUAAGCAUGCCACUAUUUAUUACUAAUCCUACUUAUUGCAUGCAAAGCAUGACACCGAUACUGUAUUACUGAAUGCAUGUUAAGCAUGCUACCAUUACUGAAAUUGAUAUUGAUGAGCAUGAUUUGCUACA